AGUGAACGCUGGCGGUAGGCCUAACACAUGCAAGUCGAACGGCAGCACAGAGGAGCUUGCUCCUUGGGUGGCGAGUGGCGGACGGGUGAGGAAUACAUCGGAAUCUACUCUGUCGUGGGGGAUAACGUAGGGAAACUUACGCCAAUACCGCAUACGACCUACGGGUGAAAGCAGGGGAUCUUCGGACCUUGCGCGAUUGAAUGAGCCGAUGUCGGAUUAACUAGUUGGCGGGGUAAAGGCCCACCAAGGCGACGAUCCGUAGCUGGUCUGAGAGGAUGAUCGGCCACACUGGAACUGAGACACGGUCCAGACUCCUACGGGAGGCAGCAGUGGGGAAUAUUGGACAAUGGGCGCAAACCUGAUCCAGCCAUACCGCGUGGGUGAAGCAGGCCUUCGGGUUGUAAAGCCCUUUUGUUGGGAAAGAAAUCCAUCUGGUUAAUACCCGGGUGGGAUGACGGUACCCAAAGAAUAAGCACCGGCUAACUUCGUGCCAGCCGCCGCCGUAA
rnacentral:rRNA from 1 species